rnacentral:tRNA from 1 species
GGGGGUGCACACCGGAUACUUCGGGAGAGCGUCUGACUGGCAGUCAGAAGGUCAGCGGUUCGAUCCCGCUUAUCUCCACCA